UACUUUUUGCAACCCAUUCUCUCACGACUGAUUUUUUUUCUAAACCAAAACCUGCUUUGCAAAACACAAGCAAUGUCUCUUCUCUCUCAUCCGAACCCUCCUCCUCUCUCUUCACAUUCCUUUUUUUUAAGUUGUCUCUUCCUCUUCUUUAUUCAUGUUUUCUUCUGCUAUUUUGAUUUUUUCUGUUAACAUAGUUUACGAAUAUACUUUAUGACGUGCGGUGUGGGGUUUAACGACGGUAGCAGAUUUGUGGUGAAGGCAACCUAUUUCUGGUGGCGAGGGUGAUGGUGGACGAAUCAUAUGAGUUCAAGCAUAAACCAGUUUGGGGAACAUUUGUUUUGAUUUCAAGAUAAAAAGUUAAUAUUUGCUUUUGGGAUGUUGAUUCGAUUUCAAGCAAAGAAGGUGGAGAUUUGUUUGUGGUUUAAGGUUUUGUUUCUAGCGAAGAGUUUAUGGCGGCGGAUCUAAAGUUUUUGUCGAUUUCACAGCGGUGUGCGAUUUAGAGUUUUUGUUAUGUCAUGUUUUGAAAUGUCAUGUUUUAAUUUUAGGGUUUUUUGUUACAAACUUUAGCAUCUUCUUUGUGUAACAAUUGUGCUCUCUUGGAUACAGUUAAUGCUGAAGCAUUUAGUGCAUCUUCUAAUUCUGAUUUUAGUAUAGGUUCAUAUACGGUGCUACAUGUAUCAAAAGCUUAUUUCAGCUCAUUAGAAUAAACAAAAGUUGAUAUCUUUAUAUUUCUUUCUUCAUUUUCCCCAUUUCACAGGAAUGCAGUUAUUGUGAUGCUUUCGGGUCAAGUGGCAGAUGCAUUUGCCACUGUAUUUGUUGGUGAACUGGUGUUUAAACUUUUUUCAACUUAUAUGCUUAUAUGUUUCCGUCACUAAGAAUAUUCGUGUGUUCCUAACAUAAUAAUCUUUUAUAGCGUAGGUAACAAAUAUUUAUUGUGAGUUUCAAAAUUUAGUUUGGAUGUUACUCAAACUGAACCUCAUUUGAUUGAACUGAUACUAAUCUAGCUUUUACUUUUAUAUGAUUUUAAGAAACUUUAAUAGUUUGUCACUCGCCUUUCAGAUCUUAUUUUGAUAGAAAUGAUAACUUCUGUUAUCUUGCUUUAUAGAUAGACUAGUUUGGAUGUUUCAAGAUAUGACAUGGUGCCGGAUCUUUAUUGGUGGCUAUUUAAUUUUUUCUGUUUUUGGUCGUUGUCUACCAUGUGCAAUUCUUACUUCUGAUUCAACUACUUUUGAAACUGUGAGUUACAUCAUGUUUGUAUCAAUUUUCAACUUGGGUUGGGCUGCUACUCAGGUCUCAUACUCGUGGGAGGAUUUCAUGGGCUUACUGGUUCAAGAGAUUUUUAUAUUACCAAGUUGUUAUUAUUUAUGUCCUCACGAGAUUAGUUCUUAAAGUUUCUCAGGUUAGGAUGUUUUUACUCUCUCUAUUUUGUGUUCAUUGUCUUGGAAGAUGAGAGGCUUAAUAUGUUUCACAAAUUGAAUUGAAUUGUGUUUGAAGAAGACACCGUUUGAAGAAGACACCUUUAGGAACAUAAUUCGAAGGAAGCUAAAACUACUUGAUUGCAUUAAAUUUCCAACGUUAAAUUUGUCAAUCUCCACCGUUAAAUUUGUUUACUCUUUGUAGGAGAUUGCAUGGACAGGCAAACUUCUCAAGGCUUACUUCUUUGCUGGAUGCAUUCUUUGCAUUCUUUGAAACUGAUACCUGGAAUGUACUUAUGCAGUCUUAGUUUUCUCUUUUACUUAAACUAUAAUAAUUUUUACUCAAAGUUUUUUAACAACUUCAAUGGUUCAAUUUUUUAGAGGCUUCCCUGUUUGGCUCAAGUACAUUCCAGGUAUCAGUUUCAGAAUAGACAAUGGGAACCUAAUUGUACCUGCUUUAGAAAACUAAUCCCUUUUGGUUACUAUUAUUUCUGAGUGAAUGCACAAUAUGUAAUAAUUAUUAUCCUGUAUUGUGUGUUAUCCAUGAUAAUUUAGUUCUAUAGCAGGAAUUCAAGUCACUGCCAUUCAGCUGUAUUCAUGAUCUUAUUGUAAGAUAAGGUUUUAUGAUAGAGUGGCGUGGCACAUUGGUGUGAUUUUAUGAUGAUGCAAAUUAUGGUGAUGUUCAGCUUAAAUGGAGAUUAAGGUAAGGCUUGAAUGUGGAUUUAGUGUUAGCCUCAGACUAAUGAAAGGUUAAUAGAAGCAGGUUAUGGUGGCAUGUUAGGAAUAUGUUAGUAAGAGUGAAACAAUUAGUUUGGUUAGUGAGAUUAGGGAUUGUUGGUUAAUCAUUAUGUUGAACUGUUAGUGAAUUUAAAUGGGGCUGCUACAGUCAGUUGACUUUGAAUCAUGGAAUCAAGUAAUGAUUUAGGAUGAUAUAGACUGCUUGCUGCGUUUCCAACUGACCCGAAAUUAACACGUUGCGUUGAUAUCAUGUUGGAUCUUGAGCUGCGAGUCUGGUACAAUAGCUUAAAGGCAUGGCCAAAUAAAAAUGAAUGGUGACCUAAUGAGCCUUGGAUGAAGGUCUUAAAAUGGCGGUGUGCUGUGGAUUUAUUUAAGCAAAAGUUUCUUCACUGUUUGGACUUCAACCCAUGGAUUUUAGGGAUGGUAUGAAGUAUGACAACAUGUUGAAAUUGAAGAUGGACACAGUAGGUUUCAUGAUAGUUUUGUUUGGUUUAUAAAUUUUUGUAGUGUCUUUGGAAUGUAAUGUGGAUUUGAUGGUGGCAAUAAACCAUGUAGUGAUGACCAACUCUAAAAAAAUUGUACGGUCGGUGGCAUGACCGGAUCGAAUGUCCCAGUUUUGUUUCGUUUGUUAUGUUAUUUUGUUGAGGCAUGAAUUAACAUCCAUCUGCUAAGCGAUAAAAUCGAAAAGAAGAUAAGUUAUCUUUUAGACAUGAAUUAAUUUAAAUUAGUUAUCUA